rnacentral:rRNA from 1 species
AAUCAACGCUGGCGGCGUGCCUCAGACAUGCAAGUCGAACGCGAAAGUCCCCUUCGGGGGACAAGUAGAGUGGCGCACGGGUGAGUAACACGUGGGUAAUUUACCUUCGGGUGGGGAAUAACAGUCGGAAACGACUGCUAAUACCGCAUGAUGCAGCGGCACCACAUGGUGACAGUUGUUAAAGCGGGGGAUCGCAAGACCUCGCGCCUGAAGAGAAGCCCGCGGCAGAUUAGCUAGUUGGUAAGGUAAUGGCUUACCAAGGCAACGAUCUGUAGCCGGCCUGAGAGGGCGGUCGGCCACACUGACACUGAAUAACGGGUCAGACUCCUACGGGAGGCAGCAGUCGGGAAUUUUGGGCAAUGGGCGCAAGCCUGACCCAGCAACGCCGCGUGAAGGAUGAAGUAUUUCGGUAUGUAAACUUCACAAGAA